CUAAGACAUGCUAGUCGAGCGUCUUCAGGCUAUGUUGAGGACGCGGCGUACGGCUCAGUAACACGUGGCCAACCUACCCUUAGGACGGAGACAACCCCGGGAAACUGGGGCUAAUCCCCGAUAGGUGAGGACGCCUGGAAUGGUCUCUCACCCAAAGGACGUUGAAGCCAUGCUUUUCGGCGUUGCCUAAGGAUGGAGCCGCGGCCGAUCAGGUUGUUGGUGAGGUAACGGCUCACCAAGCCUAUAACCGGUACGGGCCAUGAGAGUGGGAGCCCGGAGAUGGGCACUGAGACAAGGGCCCAGGCCCUACGGGGCGCAGCAGUUGCGAAACCUCCACAAUGCACGAAAGUGCGAUGGGGCUAACCCGAGUGCCGUCCGCUGAGGAGGGCUUUUCUCCGCUGUAAGGAGGCGGAGGAAUAAGGAGAGGGCAAGACUGGUGUCAGCCGCCGCGGUAAUACCAGCUCUCCGAGUGGUAGGGACGAUUAUUGGGCCUAAAGCGUUCGUAGCCGGCUUGGCAAGUCUUUCGUUAAAUCCAGUGACCUAAUCGCUGGGCUGCGGGAGAUACUGUCAGGCUUGGGAGCGGAAGAGGUCGACGGUAUCUCGGGGUAGGGGUGAAAUCCUGUAUCCCGGGAGGACACC
rnacentral:rRNA from 1 species